CNUGAGAAAUAGCUACCACUUCUACGGAGGGCAGCAGGCGCGCAAAUUGCCCAAUGUCAAAAAAAAACGAUGAGGCAGCGAAAAGAAAUAGAGCCGACAGUGCAUUUUGUAUUGUCGUUUUCAAUGGGGGAUAUUUAAACCCAUCCAAAAUCGAGUAACAAUUGGAGGACAAGUCUGGUGCCAGCACCCGCGGUAAUUCCAGCUCCAAAAGCGUAUAUUAAUGCUGUUGCUGUUAAA
rnacentral:rRNA from 1 species